CUGCUGUACCACCACAAUGGGCUGUAACGUUAGCGCCGCUGUGUCUGAGGCAACCACAUAAGAAAAGUAAACCUCCACCUUGUGCUGUACCAAGGUUUAGGAGAUCUCCCCGCUGUUUUUGAACAUUGUUUAGCAGAAUGGAUCCAAUUCACGUCCUGGUGUAGAAGACAUCAGACGUCGGAGACAGAAAUUAAAGCCGAUCAAUUGACAAUAGAUCAGACAAGCAUUUCAGAUCCUCCUAGAAAACUCUCUGAAAACUUCUUCACCCUUUUAUCUCUCGUCUUCAUCAGGUCUGGAGAAGAUUAGUGCCCAUGUCGAUGCAUAAUGUUGAUUAGCCCCAGCUCACAUCCGCUGGACCAGAGCCUGCUGGAUUACCCUAAACUACUGGAGCCAUUUCCAAACUCCAUCUUUACAAGCACAUCACAAGUCAGUUCAAAUAAUCUCAGAAACGUCCAGCGCCCAUCCAUCAUUAGGACUCACCAGAACCGUUUGUCAGGAAGGAAGUGAAGGAUCACUACACACUAGAAUUAAACUGGUAAAUAUUCAGUUUCAUUGCUUUAGGCUCCAUUCAGUCACCAGAAACAAAGAAAGCAUGAGCUCCAACAGAGAAAAGACUCUUCCUGGCCUUUCUUUUCUUUAAAGGUGGUUUGUUAAAGAGCAACAGCUCAGCUUGUUAACUUGUUAACUUGCUUCAGUUGCAUCAAAGCAGGGUAAAUUAAGCCAAGGAAAGUUACCAUGGAGAUUUAUGCUUUGCAGCUAGGCUGCUCCAGGGCAGGCUAAAAACUAGGCUAGAAUUAAUCCUAGUGCUUGAUCAGUCAGCUCCGCUGUAUUCCUACUAGAGAUCAGUGUGUGUCACAAUUCCAUGCACUUCUGUAAAUAUGAUACAUCAUUUAUUAGCAUGCCCCAAACCUAUAUAUAAAACAUAUAAAAUAUAAAUAUAUAUAAUAUAUAUAUUUUAAUCAUCCUAGUAUGCAUAAUGUUUGUUUACUGUUAUCAUGAAGACAGUGGUUCAUAUUAUUGUAAGAGACAACAGGCCUAUAACCAUGCCCACCCUAGAACAAGGGCUCGAAUCGAAAUGACCUUUGGGCUCCUUAAAUCAGGCUUUCAGUGCCUGCACCACCUGAGAGUCUCCUCAGACAGGGCUGUGAUGUGACUGUGGCCUGUACUGUGCUGCAUAAUACUGCCAGCCUGAGAAGAGAGAGCCCCAAGAGUUGUUAAUGAUACUGACUUUUUACAGAUGACAGAAAUGGUAGACUGUGCAGAGAACAGUACAUACUUCAUUUCAGUUAAUUGUUUUGAUGUAGCCUGUCCCUGAGUAGGAUAAUGUGUCACUCAUUCAUGUGUACUCUAAACAACUACUAACACAGACUGUCUGAUUACCUCCUCAAACUUUAGUUUGACUGUAUUGAAUCAAGAAGCAUAUACACUAGUGUACAAGACAUCCAUAAUAAAGACAGAGCA
rnacentral:lncRNA from 1 species